rnacentral:rRNA from 1 species
CUACGGGGGGCUCCAGUCGAGAAUAUUGGACAAUGGGCGAAAGCCUGAUCCAGCGACGCCGCGUGCAGGAAGAAGGCCUUCGGGUUGUAAACUGCUUUUCUGCUCGAACAAGCUUCGGCUGAGCGUAGAGCAGGAAUAAGGGGCUGCAAACCUCGUGCCAGCAGCAGCGGUAAUACGAGGGCCCCAAGUGUUAUCCGGAUUUAUUGGGCGUAAAGGGCACGUAGGAGGUCUGGCACGUCUCGUUUUAAAUCUCCGAGCUCAACUUGGAGUCUGGGCGAGAUACGGCCUGACUAGAGGAUGUCAGAGGCAAGCGGAACGCACGGUGUAGGGGUGAAAUCCGUUGAUAUCGUGCGGAACACCAAAGGCGAAGGCAGCUUGCUGGGACAUUCCUGACUCUAAGGUGCGAAAGCGUGGGUCGCGAAUGGGAUUAGAUACCCUCGUAGUC